rnacentral:rRNA from 1 species
ACUCGAGUGGCGAACGGGUGAGUAACACGUGGGUGAUCUGCCCUGCACUUCGGGAUAAGCUUGGGAAACCGGGUCUAAUACCGGAUAGGAGCCAUCUUUAGUGUGGUGGUUGGAAAGUCUUUUCGGUGUAGGAUGAGCUCGCGGCCUAUCAGCUUGUUGGUGGGGUAAUGGCCUACCAAGGCGGCGACGGGUAGCCGGCCUGAGAGGGUGUACGGCCACAUUGGGACUGAGAUACGGCCCAG